AUUGAACGCUGGCGGCAUGCCUUACACAUGCAAGUCGAACGGUAACAGGUCUUCGGAUGCUGACGAGUGGCGAACGGGUGAGUAAUACAUCGGAACGUGCCUAGUAGUGGGGGAUAACUACUCGAAAGAGUGGCUAAUACCGCAUGAGAUCGAGGGAUGAAAGCAGGGGAUCGCAAGACCUAGUGCUACUCGAGCGGCCGAUGGCAGAUUAGGUAGUUGGUGGGAUAAAAGCUUACCAAGCAGACGAUCUGUACCUGGUCUGAGAGGACGAUCAGCCACACGGGGACUGAGACACGGCCCAGACUCCUACGGGAGGCAGCAGUGGGGAAUUUUAGACAAUGGGCGCAAGCCUGAUCCAGCAAUGCCGCGUGCAGGAUGAAGGCCUUCGGGUUGUAAACUGCUUUUGUACGGAACGAAAAGCCCUGGGUUAAUACCCUGGGGUCAUGACGGUACCGUAAGAAUAAGCACCGGCUAACUACGUGCCAGCCGCCGCGGUAACAC
rnacentral:rRNA from 1 species